GAGUUUCCGAAAAGAUCAGUUCUCCAUCAUGGCCUGGUCUCUGCUUUUAGCUUUCUUCCUCUUAUGGUGCACAGGAGCCAACUCACAGUAUACCUUGACUCAACCUGCGGCACAAUCAUUUCCCAUGGGACAACCAGCAAAGAUCUCAUGUACCAUGAGCCAAGACAGCCAAGUGGGCAGCUUUUACAUACAUUGGUUCCAACACAAGAUUGGAGAGAGCCCCAAGUACCUUCUCUAUGAUAGUGGCAGCAACGGCCGAUUCAAAGGGUCCAUCGAUGCCUCGGCCAAUACAGCCUAUUUAACCAUUUCAAACCUCCAGGCUGAGGAUGAGGCUGAUUACUAUUGUGGUAGUGCUUACGGCAGUGGCAGCACCUGGAGGGAAUCCACCACCACCAUCAUCUGUAGCUUACCGCCUUAUUUGCAGCAUGUGAGGGUCAAGAUCCAGACCCUGUAUUUGGAAGUUUAUGAUCCUGAUCCUCUGUGA